AGUGAACGCUGGCGGUAGGCCUAACACAUGCAAGUCGAGCGGCAGCACAGUAAGAGCUUGCUCUUACGGGUGGCGAGUGGCGGACGGGUGAGGAAUACAUCGGAAUCUACUUUUUCGUGGGGGAUAACGUAGGGAAACUUACGCUAAUACCGCAUACGACCUACGGGUGAAAGCAGGGGAUCGUCGGACCUUGCGCGAUUGAAUGAGCCGAUGUCGGAUUAGCUAGUUGGCGGGGUAAAGGCCCACCAAGGCGACGAUCCGUAGCUGGUCUGAGAGGAUGAUCAGCCACACGGGAACUGAGACACGGUCCAGACUCCUACGGGAGGCAGCAGUGGGGAAUAUUGGACAAUGGGCGCAAGCCUGAUCCAGCCAUACCGCGUGGGUGAAGAAGGCCUUCGGGUUGUAAAGCCCUUUUGUUGGGAAAGAAAAGCAGCAGGUUAAUACCCCGCUGUUCUGACGGUACCCAAAGAAUAAGCACCGGCUAACUUCGUG
rnacentral:rRNA from 1 species